UGGGGAAUAUUGCACAAUGGAGGGAACUCUGAUGCAGCGACGCCGCGUGAGUGAUGAAGGAAUUCGUUUCGUAAAACUCUGUUCUAUGGGAAGAAAAGGACUGUACCAUAGGAGAAAGCUCCGGCUAAAUACGUGCCAGCAGCCGCGGUAAUACGUAUGGAGCGAGCGUUGUCCGGAAUUAUUGGGCGUAAAGGGUGCGCAGGCGGCUUUACAAGUUGGAUGUGAAAUAUUGUGGCUCAACCACAAACGUGCAUCCAAAACUGCAAAGCUUGAGUUAAGGAGAGGUAAGUGGAAUUCCUGGUGUAGCGGUGGAAUGUGUAGAUAUCAGGAGGAAUACCGGUGGCGAAGGCGACUUACUGGACUUAAACUGACGCUCAGGCACGAAAGCGUGGGGAGCAAACAGG
rnacentral:rRNA from 1 species